rnacentral:lncRNA from 1 species
GGUGCUGUUUGGUUCACGAAAUGUAACGUAAAGGGUAAUGGUAAUGGUUUACACUUGAUUACGGGCGGUAACAAGUUUGAAUAGUCCGGUAUCAAAUUUUAGUACGGUAUCUGAUUACAGUUGGACUAAAACAAACAUGAUUUAACGUAAUCACUUACCCAUUACGUUACAAAUAUUUGAACCAAACGGUACCCAAGUAUAUUUAGUUUCCUAUUCUUUUGCGCAUGGUAAUCCUGAAUCUACCCCUAUAUAAUAGAGAGGACGUUCUCUCCAAAAAAAACAAUAAGAGACAACCAAUCUACUAUGAGUUACUGAGUUAGGGUUUUACACAAGAGAGUCAUCUAUGUCGCGUGGUCUCAAUUAUGUGGCAAUGUUACAUUGGGUCUUUUUUUGUUCUCUCCAUGAAUAAAUCACUACAGAAAGAUUCAUACUAUUAGGCGAACAACCAACCAACCUUAGAAUGUGAAGGUAGAACGGGGAGUUUCUCUGGAAUGGAGAUGAGAACCAUGGAUCUGAAAAGUGAAGGGAAAAAGUGGAGUGCAACAACCAGGACAUCCAUGACCUGUAUUCUCCAUAUCUCUAAUGACUGAACGCUUGGAAUAGCUAGCAGAUAGAAAUGCAUGCAUGCAUGCGAUGCGAGCAGCGGCUAAAGACUCGCAUUUGCGUCGCUCACACGAUCCAUGGUGGCUGGCUGCGCACCAGAAAGCGUCGCUCAUCACACGAUCCAUGGCGCUGGUGGUGCCUGCGCGCACGAGAAAGAAAGCUAAACGUACAUAUUCUCCCGGCCUCUACAUAUUCUCGCUGGAUGCCCCCGGCCUCUUGCUUGCCAUUCUCAGGCUGACCGACGACCAAUGGCGGUGGAGGACGCGGCGCAGCUACUCACCCUGCUGGCGCCUCUGCUUGUGGUGGCCAUCGUCGCCGCGGUGAUCGCGUCGGCGUGGGCAGACGGAGAAGGCGUGCGCGCGGCCAUGGCGCAGGCGGACGCGCAGGCCGGGGAGUGGGCUCGCUACGUGUUUGGCUCGGAGCCCAGCCCACCGGGGAGUGCCAACGGGAGCACGCAUGGCUGAGCUAGCUAUGCUCACUCUAGUCCUGAAGCGUACAAUGAAGCCUUUUUUCCCCAGCUAUCUAGGUACUAGAACCUGUUUGAUUCCUAAUCUAACUUGUCACACUUUGUCUAACGUUUCUGUCUAAGUUUAGUUCUUCAAUUCGAACGACUAAUCUUAGACAAAGUGUGACGCAUGAACCACAUGGAUCAAAUAUUAUAGAUCCAACCAACUGUCCAACAUCGUUGCAAGCACUUUAUUCUUACCGAUUUAGGGAUUUCUGGCUAGCAUCAGAAAAUAACUCUUACCGAUUCCUAAGGUCGACCUGGAGUCCUCGAUUUAUAAUGUGAAUAAAUAAAUCGAGGACCCCAUGUCGACCUUAGGAAUCGCUAAGAAUUAUUUUCCGAUAAUAGCCGGUUGCAUCAGAAAUGUGUGAAUAAAUUAUUUUCGUAAGAAACUGUGGAAAGAACAUCUGUCAAUGGAUUCACUUCUCCGCUGCAUGGGACUUGCACGCGGUGCAGUCUGCUGGUGGCGGAGCAGGUGUGUUGUCUGGAAUUGUUACCCGCAUUGUCGUGUGCUUACCAUCUUCCGUAUGGACAUCAAGGAUGGCAUCCAUUAUCAGUAUCUCCCACUCGGUGGGCUGCACAUACGAAUACCAAGAUUCAUCUGCAAAACGAGAAUGCGAUAAAGAGACAUAUUAAGUUUCCAAUAUAAGAAUACAUAGUAAGGAAUGAAAAAGUGGAACACAUUUAGUUCCCAGCUUUGGUCACCCUGCAGCCUAAGUCAUGGCAACAACAUGUUUGUCAAGCCUGUAAUGUCGCAUAUCACAUGUUUAAUAUGUCAAACCUUAGACUUAUCCGAUAAACGAGCGCUAUGGAUUUGUCAUCAGGACUUUAACGUGUGCCCCGACCUCGGGGCUGUACUGCCCUCAGUAGGUCUAGGCACAUCCUUUUGUCUUAAGACACGAUUACACUUAGGCGUAACAAGUGCCUUGUUCCCACGGGGCUUUAGGCCCCGAAGGAUUCGACGCCACGUGGCUCUCGUAAUGCGAGAUCGAGGACCUUAACACGUUGGUCAUGUCGCAUGUCUAUGUCUUGCCUUUUUACACAGGCCAUGCGACGCUUCAGGUUCUUCACCCGAUGAACAAAGAGGGAGAGGGAAGAAAGGAUUUAAAUAGGCCUAUGUGUGAAACUUAAACUUUUUCACACGUCCUUGUAACCUUCUCGCCCUUGCCUUCAUCUCCCUUGUCAUCUUCCUCCUCUCGCCUUUGCAAUCGUUUUCUCAAUCAUUGUCGACAAAAAUAGCAGUCGCUUCUAUCCCUAACCAUCUCACCCGCGCACGCGUGUUGAACGAAGAGGGCCUUGACAAGGUUCGAGAUCUUCUCGGAUGCGUUUCGCCGCUUGCCUCCUCACAGGUUCGAGAUCUUCUCAGAAAGAAGCUAGCGAGUACAUCGUUUUCUAUCCCCAUAUCCUAGACGGUAUCAAUUUCCUCGUUUCUCGUUUUUUCCACCAAACACUUGAUUACUAUGGCCUAUAGGUUGGGCAUCUUACGCCUAAUGUUGUUAUUGUCCUGUCCACCUCACGUAUCUUUGUGAUGCUUUUGUCGUAGUCAGACCAUGUGUACACCAAUUCCAUCAUUUGUUCAUGGCCUAGACACAUCAUUCUGUCUUGAGACACGAUUACACUUAGGCAUGACAAGUGCCUUGUUCCCAGGGGGCUUUAGGCCCCGAAGGAUUCGACGCCAGGCGGCUCUCGUAAUGCGAGAUCGAGGACCUUAAGUACCUCGGUGCUACUAGAGGGCCCCAGCGUAUAAGUGUCGUUGAGUGCUCCAGAGCUGAACUGUACCGAGCAUCAAUGCUCUUCAUAACGCCCCAAGACACGAGGGAUCGCGAAAACUUAGACUCUUGAGCGCCUCGAGUCGCAAGGGGCCCCGGGAGCCGGGAAUGCUCAUCAGUUACCUAGGGCACAAGGGGCCUCGAGGACUUAGAUUAUACCGACCUGGGAUAUCCUAGGACACUAAAUGCCCUGGUUCUCAGUGGGUCCCGGGUCUCUUAGCAGCUCUUCGCAAGACUUAGUGGUGUAGAUAUCCCUUCGAGAUACCUCCAUGUCAAAUUAACGGGUGUGAAGCCCCUCUAGAUGGGACCAGGGAAGGUCCUCAAAGGAGUAGGGCCUUAUACUAGGAUUCUUGAAUGCGUCUUCACAACCAUCGAGGUUAUGGCCUUCCUCGGGUGCUGGCAGAGGCCCUCAGGUUUGCUGCUGGAGUGAUCCUAUAUAUGGGCCCAUUUUCUCUCCUAGACGCAUAAUGAAAUGGGUUCCAAGAACACCUCAUCGAAGUUUGCACAACUCAUUGUUGGGGGAGCCAGCAAGCACCGUGAAGACUAGGUCCCCCAGGCAAGCGAGUGUAAGAGGACUGGACCUGGUCAGGGAGCAGCGACCCAUCACGACAGCGCAGAUUCAUACUGUGAUUUAGUUGCCCAUUAGGCUCCCUUUCUAAGCCUUAUAGGUAUGACAUGAGGGGCCAAUUGACAUUCAUCGCUAGUUUUUAGCUCGGAAGCCAAAGUGUCAGCGUCAGUCACGUCUCAUGUAUAUACCCCUUGAUAUGAUGUGCCACUCCUCGGGUCGAGAACCCAAUCAUUACACGAAUAAAAUUUGAUUACAACUGGUUUCUCAGCCGAAAAAUAAUCCAAUAAUUCCCGCGAAUUCCAAGCAAGAGCUCGAGCCCCAAGCAUGCAUGGCGGAGCCAUCCCAUCACAUACGACAAGAAUUUUGGGCGUAAUCACCGUAGUGGUUGGACAGUUUCAUCUACACGUUGGUCAUGUCGCAUGUCUUGCCUUUUUACGCAGGCCAUGCGACGCUUCAGGUUCUUCACCCGAUGAACAAAGAGGGAGGGAAGAAAGGAUUUAAAUAGGCCAAUAUGUUAAACUUAAACUUUUUUCACACGUCCUUGUAACCUUCUCGCCCUUGCCUUCAUUUCCCUUGUCAUCUUCGUCCUCUCGCCUUUGCAAUCGUUUUCUCAAUCAUUGUCGACAGCAAUAGCAGUCACUUCUAUCCCUGACCAUCUCACCCACGCACGUGUGUUGAACGAAGAGGGCCUUGACAAGGUUCGAGAUCUUCUCGAAUGCGUUUCGCCGCUGGCGUCCUCCCAGGUUCGUCCAACGGCCUUUGUCGCGGACUCCUUGGAAAGAAGCUAGCGAGUACAUCGUUUUCUAUUCCCAUAUCCUGGUUGGUAUCAAUUUCCUCGUUUUUCGUUUUUUCCAUCGAACACUUGAUUAAUAUGGCCUAUAGGUUGGGCAUCUUACGCCCAAUGUUGUUAUUGUCCUAUCCAUCUCACGUAUCUCUUCGAUGCUUUUGUCGUAGUCAAACCAUGUGUAGACCAAUUCCAUCAUUUCUUCAUGGCCUAGACCACAAGCGCCCAUAAUCUCUUCAAGAAUAUUUACUUCUAGCUCCACAUCGAGCCUCGAUGUUGGUCCACAUACAUCACCACCAACCUAUCAUAGAAGUGGGUGUAGUGGAGCACAUCCUGGGUAUGUCUCGGUUUUCGGUUUGCUCGAGUUCAUACCUAGAGAUGACGACGGGCAAGCUAGUAGUCAACUGGGCCCAGUGGGAGGACGUCCUCGACAUGAAUGAAGCCUAAGAGUCGGUUCUCAGAAGAUCGAAGAGUUCACCAGGGCAAGGCCGACCACAACUACUCUUCUAGCGUAUUCCUGUCCUAGCACAUCACAUCUCUUCAAAGAUACAUCAAGGCCAUCCAAUCCAUCAGGUGGGUACUAGUAGGUGGUAGCACUAUACCCACUGGUGGAGACAUUGGUUUGGAUUAUUUUCCCCUAAAUGAAUGAAAUUAGUAUAUAUUCUUAUAUGUUUCAAGGUCAAUAUAAAUUUAAAGAAAAUCAAGAUAAAAUUGAAACAUGACACACAAGAGGCAUUUGUUUCAAUCACCCAACUAGCAUCGGUUAUACAACCUAAUUUAUUGUAUAAAUUGGCUUGAGAGAUGAUUUUACAGAAAUGAUUUGGGAAUUUGUUCAUGCAUAUAGACUAACAGACAUGCAACGCCCAAGGAACGAUAAAACUGUAUUAUAAACUGCAACCAACUGGCUAUGUCAGCAAAUGAUUCAUAUUAGUAUCAUAAUUUUCCUUUUCGUUAAUGCAAACAAAUCUAUUGUGAUUUGUGAUACUUUAUAUGCAAUAGAAAAACUAAAGGUCAUAUUUAAUGUUCUGCAUCUAAAUGCAAAAAAAACAUCAAUUUUCGUUCAGUUUUCCAGAGGCAUUGAAGGCGAUGUAGCCCAAAGACAUAUUUGAUAUUAUUAUAAGCAUGCCAUAAGAGAAAUGUUAGCAUACUAGCAAGUCCAAUCAACUCACUCAUAAGGAAUAGAUUUGUGAAGUUAGUGGCACGCACCUCCCAAGCGCACAGCUUUGAGCUUGAGCAGACCAUUUCCUUGGGGUCCUGACACCGGGAAAGUGCAGGAGACAGAAUGCUUCGCGUGAUUCACAGCAAUGGAAGCACUGUACCAGGGUCCCCGCAUGAUUGGUUUACCGAUAGCAUUGACUAUCUGCUGGUUCUGGGUGGCCUUCUCUAUUGCCUGGCUGCACCACGGGCACCAGAGGAAGUGAGCCAUAGCAAUUCCUCUUGUGGACAAAGGAAACCAAAUCCAACAACGACGAGCACAAUAGCAUGUUACAUGAAGAAAUAGCAUCACUCAAAGAUACUACAUGUUGCCACAAAAUCGUCAUCCAUCCUCUACAUGGGCACCAAAAGCACUUACGAUAUAUGUCUAGGUCACAUUACAAGUCAAGAAAUCCUGAACUAUAGGAUCAGCUAUAUACACUGCUAAGAAAAUGGCUUGAAAAUUCCAAACCUUCAAGCGGCGCCAAGAUGUAGUUGAUCUGAUGCCAAGCAUCAUGAGGACAGGUAAAUACUUAGUGGAGGACAGAACGGGAUUCAAGGGUUCGACCUGGAGCAUGAGAGGAAGACGGAGAGGUCGCUGACAGCACUGGCUGCGACGGCGCCCGUCAGACCCAGCAGCGAGAGCGUCACCGCGCGGCCGGCCCACGCUCCCGGACCCGAAUCGGUCACCUCCGGCGGGGGCUGCGCCGACGAUGCCGUGGGGUGGGUCUGUGCGGAAAGGCGGCGGAGGAGGAGCGGAGAGGUGGCGGCGGACAGCCGGCGAGCCGCCAACAUUUUGGUUUGCGGAAGGGGAAAUAAACGACAAGCCCAAUAGGCCGAACAGGCAAUAAUACUGCAGAGUUUUAGGUCUGCAGCAGGUGACUGACUAGUGGGGCCAGCAAAGAAAAUCCAAGCGAUGCAUUGCAGAGUACUUCUAAAAAUUUUCUGAAAGAUCAAAUAUCGCAGUAAAUUUACUAGUAUUCUGAAUUUCAUGAGUUUAGCGUAUCGAUAAAUUUAAUGUAUUUAGUUUAUCUUAAAUAUAACAUUUAAUGCUCCAAAUCAACAUCAAAUGGUUUAAUUGAUUGUUAUUGCUUCUCCUGAUUAUUAGAGAUAAAAACGAUUUAGUUUAUUGUUAGUCAAACUUACAGCAAAAACUGUUGUGAAGUAAACAUUGAUUCACGUACAACCACUAUACAAUUAAACUAUCAAAAGACAUAAAAAAUCUUAAAAACUUACAAAUAUACUUCAUUAUUUACUCUAUGAAUAUAUCAAAACUCAAGUCCUAAUUUGUUGAGAGAUAUAUAAAAAUCCUAUUAUUUUUAAAUAUUUCGUAUUAGAUAAAAAUUUAUUUUAUAUAUCGUUUAGCGUAUGAUGAAUUAAAACUUAAAAUUUAACAUAUUAAUAAAGAGUGGCCUUGUGAUGGUGCUCUAACAUAUUAAUAAAAUUUUGUGUAGGAUGAAUUUAACAUAUUAACAAAAUUAAACAUAAAAUAAAUUCAAACUUAAAAUUUACAUAGAGCAUAAAAACACAUAUCACUCCUAAUAUGAUAGUUCUACAGGAUGAAGAGUGGCAUCAUGGUGAUGCUCUAUCAUCCAUUUAUAUCUGAUCUAGACCCUAAUGCCUUAUUGGGUGAAGCCAUUUCCACAUAUGAUGCCAAAAUAUAGGUGAUUAUUCUAACUAUCCAGCAUGGUAUAUGUCGGAGAGCGAAUUCUCCGGCCGUGUGGCGGAGUGCACCCGCCCUAAAUCCUAAGAUGAGGAGAGGGCUUAAACGUUUUGCCUGUUGGUAGAUGAACGAUGAACUCAGGAACACGCGAGGAUUUAGAGUGGUUCGGGCCGCCGGAGCGUAACACCCUACUCCACUGUGUGUUGGAUUGUUGUGAAAGCUUGAGAGCUGAGAGUCUAAGUCUAAGUUCGGUCUGUCCCCUUUGUAACGUUGCACGCCUCCCCUUUUAUAGCUCAAGGGGGGCGCGUACAAGGGUACUGAGCCCCGACAUGUGGGCCCAGGAAUAUAAUAGAUGUAAUACUUGGAGUUACUGAAGCAAUCUUCUUGCACCUUGACAUCCGCGAUCUGCGUGGUAUUGGCGUGCAGGGGAAGCUUCCCUGGCAACGCAUAAGUGAUGAUGGACAUAGUGCACCUUCCAGCACGGGCGUACUGUUUGGCAAUGGACUGGACAGGCACGCCGCCUGCAGGAUGGCCUGAACGCCGCCUGCCAGCUGAGUGGACAGGUCACAAUAAAUGCUGAGGCGGCAGAUCGCCUGUCAGCAGGGUGGACAGUCGGCGCGUCCUCUCCGCAAUAAAUGCAGAGACCGCGUGGCCCAGAGGCCUUACGUCAGGCUCCGCCCACUGGCUUACGUCACGGGCAACAAUCCACGUGGCAGCAUCGGGUCUCCGCCUGAGCGGGGAGCGCAAGCGCACAUGAUAAAGCCUGGACACGUGUCAGUACCGGAUCCUUGCUUAGGCCAGGGUAUCCCCUGUCCCGGGACCUCGUUAUGGGUGGCCCGGACCUUACUCAGAGGGAUCCGAACCCCAUCCAAGGGACCCGACACACUUACUUGGGAGUCCCGGACCGUAUUUGGGGGUCCGGGCUGUACGUACAGGGGUCCGGUGCUUCCUCGUGGAGAUCCGGUCCAACUGAUUGCAUCCUGGGAUAUAUCGUCUUUUCCGGCCACGUGGCGCCCCUGGAGCCGUCCACGUGGUGGGGUCGGGUGCUGUUCACUGCGCGGCUAGAGAUUGUCGCACGGGCACCAUGCCUUCAUACUGUAGUAAGGGGUACCCCUGAUUCAGGGUACCGACAGUGGCCCCCGGGCCCGCCUCAGGGGAGGGAACGAGCCUGCAGGUGGGGCCAAAGUUUGAUUGGUGAUUGGCACGCUGCUUCCGCGUGCUUGCUGUCGUAAUUACUGCCUGUUCGCGCCAACUGUCACGCCUGUCCCCGCGGCUGACUGACCCGUGACUUCCGUACUUGAUGGUUCCGCUGGGCCAUGCGCGGGGUGCCUCGAUACCGCUGCAUUGGUUUUGAAAAUUCAUCUUCUCAGUCUUCUGCGGUGGCCCCGAGGAGGCGCGAUACUGGCGCGAGCGGCGGUGCGACUUCUCUGCACCCAGGAACCAGCGCCCAAGGAGGGUGACUCGUGGGCCCGGGCCCUUGUGCCAGGGACUAGGCUGUUGGUUUUGGCGGAGGCGAAGAGGCACACUACCGUAGGCGGAGGCGCGCUCUUCACGCGGCGGUUCGCCUUCUUCGUACUCAGGAAUCGGCACACCAGGUGUGUGACAUGUGGGCCUGGGCCCCCACGCCGGAGGUUGGGCCGUUGGUCGUGGCGAAGAUGAAGCGGCGCACCUACCGCGGGUCGGUAGCACGCUCCUCGCGCGGCGAUUCGCCUUCUUCGCGCUUUGGGACCAGUGGGCCAGUUGUAUGACAUGUGAGGCUGGGCCCCGUGUCAUAGGAUGGGAACCCUGGUGCGCAUCGGGGGAGACUUUGCCCGUGACGCUUCGGGGCGCGAGCGGGGGAAUCUGCCUUUAAAAAGGGGUUCAUCCCUCGAGUAGCAGCCAUGCCUUGCUUCUCUCCCACUCGCGGUGCCCUUUCGCCUUCGAGCUUUCUGCGCCCCUUUGCCUUCAGGAUUUCUGCUUUGUGUCACCAUAGUUUACCAUGGCCUUGUAAGUUCAUCUCAAGCAUGCCCAGACUGAGUGGGUGCUCGACAUGGUGUGCCGCCUACUUAGAUGGGAUGCGCCGGCGUUCGGCAGAAGGAUUUGUGCCGGCGCCAUCCUCCCCGACGAACUUGCCGCUAGAGAGUUCGUGAUCUUUUUGUCUUCAACCUCCCCAGCGGGCUGGUGCCACCGGUCUUGCCUUUCCUCUGCUGGAGGUGCACGGCCCCGUGGGGGGCGCUCUUCCACCGGUGCUUGGCUUCAAGGAUGUUCAUCAGCCUUGCGGUGGUGGAGAGCGAGCUGGGCCGCGGCUCCAUCUUUCACAUGAGCUGGUGACCUGCCUCUUCCUCCAGCAUGCGGAGGAAAAGGAUGAUCACCAGCCUUGUGAAGGUUGGAGGCGAACUUCGGCUACGCGGCACCGGCCAGACCGCAAGCGCCGUCUGCCGCCGCGCUUCCAGCUCCAUGGCUUGGAUGGUCUUGUCCUCACCCCCGUAGGAGGGCGGGGGCGAGGGCCUCUUCGGCAUGGCGCACGCGCUGAGGUGGCCACCGUCGCUGGCAAGCCGCCGGUGCAGAGGUGGUCGCCACCGCUGGUGAGGCUGCCCGGUGCAGAGGUGGUCGCCGCCACUGGUGAGGCUGCCCGGUGCAGAGGUGGUCGCCGCCGCUGGUGAGCCGCCCGGAGCUAGCUUCCAACGUGACCCUGCUGGUGCAGAGUAGUCUAUUCCUGUAGAGUAGAGAUGGAGCUAGGACUCCUCUUGAAGGCGGAUGUAAUAACUUUCGCUUUUUGUAAGGUACUUUUGAGUACUAUUUAUCAAGCAGUAUUAGCACUUAUCUGUGUACCACUUGUCCCUGUUGUGUGUGGUGUAACCGAUUCCUCCUUGGUACCUGGCCCCCUGGAAUGUAGGCUCGAUUUGUCGAGGCUGCAGACCAGCAUACCUAAGAAAGAGUUUGGCAAUGGCCCCUAGGAGGUAGCCUCGACUGGGACCUAGGCCUGCACACAGCUUCGGCUAGGGAGCAUUAGUAGUACACCCGUAGGACCCGCCAUCUGACACUAGCCAUCCUUUGAUACAUGCUCGGGACCUGUAGGGUCUAGUCUGGGAAGCCAAGUUGUGCGUCCGGACCCCCUGGACGGUGGUUCUAGGUAGUAGGACACUCGUCACAGAGUGGUGGAGCGUGCAGGCCCACGGUACGGGACCAGGCUGAGCAGCUACACGGCUCCAGACCACCCCUGGAGACAAGUGUCCAUUCUCUAGUUCUGGACCCCAGGUUGCCGGACCGACAGAACUUAUAGCUCCAAGUACUAGGGUACCCAUCACGGAGUGGUGGAGUGUGCAAGCUUUCGGGUAUGGGACCAGGCUAAGCGGCCCCCAGGCUGUCGGGCCCUCCUGCAUUCACAGAGAGGUCCUAAACUGCAAGCUUGGCUAUUCAAUUCGGAUGUCAUCAUGUCUGAUGGGAUGGGAACUGUUUGUGUGGGUUAGAUAAAAUAACAUCCAGAAAACUGCAAGGUAAGACCAUGGAGCAGUAGGAUAAAACUAUCAUAGAGGCACAUCUGAGGGGGUAAAUCUUUUUUAUAACUUGUCAUGCAUGGGUGCAGACCAACAGGCCAGGCUUAUGAGGGUGGACCUCACCGGGCUGGCGUACACGUAUGCGUUACCUAGUUACAAAAGGGAGAAAAAUUCGACCCCUCAGACUUGCUCCUAUGGAUAGAACUUACAGAGAUGCUCCAGUGGUCAGGAAGAGGUACUCCUUCAGUCGUAGCAAGAUAGUCACCCCCGGGUCGGCGUAUUCCCGUCACCUUGAAGGGUCCUUCCUAGCUGGGGGAGAGUUGCGGAGCCCUUCUUGGUUUGGUACUUGCCGUAGGACUAGGUCUCGACCCUGGGUUCCCAUCUACGUUUGAUGACGGAGUCCUCGUCCUUGUGUUGUAGCCAUUUCUGCAUGGACUUGUCAGAAGCCUGGACCCAUGGGGAGUCCAAAAGGGUUUCCGGGGGAAGGUAGGCUUUGGCCCCGUAGACCGGGGAGUACGGGGUCCCUCCGGGGGUCCAUCUAGUUGUCGCCACCGGAGUAGGAGUCUCCGGCGAAGACAUCCUUCAGGUCCCCCUCGGGUGACUGAUACCCGAGGUCCUGUUCAGCCACAACCACCUCGCCGUCGUCGACCCUUUCCUUGCCAGGUCGGCGACGAGGUGGGGAGCCGUCCUUGGAAGACUGCUCGCGCCGCUCGCUGACGCGUUUCGCGAGGUCGAUGAUCUCGCGACACUCCGCGGCGCUGUGGCGACCGUUGGGGUGCACAGGGCAUGAGCCGCUGUUACCCAUCUACGACCGUGGGCGUUUGUUGCGGUCGCCCCGGCCCCCAGUCGCGGCUGCGACGACUAGAGUGGUGGACCGUGGCUUCUGGUGGUCGCGGUCCUUCUUCUUUUUCUUUUUACCGUCCCGGGGACGGUACCCGAGCCACCCAUCUGGGUAACCCCGGUCUGCGGGGCCGAGUGCCAUGCACGGCCCUCGGCGGCUUUGGCUCACUUGUCGGCCAAAGCGAAGAGUGUGGAGACUGUCUCCACGUCAUGCGUGGACAACUUCUCCAACAUUUUUAUCACGUACUCCCUAGCGGAAGGCCAUGAUGAUGGAAGCAUCGGAAAUGCGAGGUAUAGUACCUCGCACCUUGGUGAAGCGGGAGAUGAACGUCCGGAGAGUCUCCCCGGGCUCCUGCCUCACUGCGUGGAGGUGGGCCUUGGUGUUGCUGGUAAGCGCUGGCGAAGUUCACAACGAACCGCGCGCAGAGCUCUUCCCAGGAGUAGAUUGACCCUGGGGCGAGGUUCAUGAGCCAAGUCCGGGCAGGCCCAGACAAGGCGACAUGAAAAUAUGUCGCCAUCACAGCGGUGUUUCCACCUGCUGCUGUGAUAGCGGUGAUGUACACCUGUAGGAAUUUCGAUGGGUUUGACGUACCAUUGUACUUUUCGGCAGGUGCGGCCAGAACUUGGAUGGCCAUGACGCCGCGCGGAGAUGAUCCGCGAGAGCGGCGCAGCCCACGCCGGCCAAGGGGACACCCGCUUGGGACCGGGUGCCCAUUGGGGCCUGCGGUGCUACCGCAGCGAAGUCUUGAUCGAGGUUGCGACCCUCGAUGUUUUGCCGGCGCUCGCACGCCCUCUCUAAAGAGAUCUAGGUGUCCUCUCCCGCACGCCUGCGGUUGAGCUCUGCUCGGAGGUCGUCGGUCUGCGCGCCCCUUACUGAGGGUGAGCGCACAGACGCCGUCGCCUCACGUUGGCGUCAGGAUGACCGAGGCUUGGACCUGGUCGAGGAGGAAUGCGCCAUGCCGAGCAGCUGGUCGACGUCGUCGCACCACUGCUUCAUGGCCCCUGACGAGGCUGUGGAGCUUGGAGGGUGGCGCAGCAACUCUAUGCCCGCGGACAACGUGCCGGGCACCGCCCUUGACGGAGUCCGGGACGCCUGUGCAGGCGUGUGCUGCCACACAGCGUGCACAGCAGCAGCCCCAGACACAGGGAGGUUGGAUACUCGUGGCAUGGAGAACGUAGCUUCUUCCUCCACCACGAAAUCCUUCGAAGUGUCGGCGCGGUGCUCCACGAUUUGCACCAUCAUGCUUGAGCGAGAAAACAAGCAAAAACCUAAAGCCAAGCCCCCUACCUGGCACGCCAAAUGUCGGAGAGGGAAUUCUCCGGCCAGGUGGCGGAGUGCACCCGCCCUAAAUCCUAAGAUGAGGAGAGGGCUUAAGCGUUUUGCAUGUUGGUAGAUGAACGAUGAACUCAGGAACACGCGAGGAUUUAGAGUGGCUCGGGCCGCCGGAGCGUAACACCCUACUCCAUUGUGUGUUGGAUUGCUGUGAAAGCUUGAGAGUUGAGAGUCUAAGUCUAAGUUCGGUCUAUCCCCUUUGUAACGUUGCAUGCCUCCCCUUUUAUAGCUCAAGGGGGGGCGUACAAGGGUACUGAGCCCCGACAUGUGGGCCCAAGAAUAUAAUGGAUGUAAUACUUGGAAUUGCUGGAGCAAUCUUCUUGUACCCUGACAUCCGCGAUCUGCAUGGUAUUGGCGUGCAGGGGAAGCUUCCCUGGCAACACAUAAGUGAUGAUGGACACAAUGCACCUUGUAGCACGGGCGUACUAUUUGGCAAUGGACUGGACAGGCACGCCGCCUGCAGGAUGGCCUGAACGUCGCCUGCCAGCUGAGUGGAUAGGUCACAAUAAAUGCUGAGGCGACACAUCGCCUGUCAGCAGGGUGGACAGGCAGCGCGUCCUCUCCGCAAUAAAUGCAGAGACCGCGCGGCCCAGAGGCCUUACGUCAGGCUCCGUCCGCUGGCUUACGUCACGGGCAACAAGCCACGUGGCAGCAUCGGAUCUCUGCCUGAGCGGGGAGCGCAAGCGCACAUGAUAAAGCUUGGACACGUGUCAGUACCGGAUCCUUGCUUAGGCCAGGGUAUCCCCUAUCCCGGACCUCGUUAUGGGUGGCUCGGACCUUACUCGGAGGGAUCUAGACCCCAUCCAAGGGACCCAGCAUGUUUACUUGGGAGUCCCGAACCGUAUUCGGGGGUCCGAGCUGUGCGUACAGGGGUUCGGUGCUUCCUCGUCGAGGUCCAGUCCAACUGAUUGCAUCCUGGGAUAUAUCGUCUUUUCUGGCCACGUGGCGCCCCUAGAGCCAUCCACGUGGUGGGGUCGGGUGCUGUUCACCGCUGAAAGUCGCCUAGAGGGGGUGAAUAGGGCGAAUCUGAAAUUUAUAAUCUUAAGCACAACUACAAGCCGGGUUAGCGUUAGAAAUAUAAACGAGUUCGAGAGAGAGGAUGAAAACAAAUCGCAAGCAAAUCAAGGGUGAGGCACAAGGAUUUGUUUUACCGAGGUUCGGUUCUUGCAAACCUACUCCCCAUUGAGGUGGUCACAAAGACCGGGUCUCUUUCAAUCCUUUCCCUCUCUCAACCGGUCAUUUAGCCCGAGUGAGCUUCUCUUCUCAAUCAAACGGAACACAAAGUUCCCGCAAGGACCACCACACAAUUGGUGUCUCUUGCCUCGGUUACAAUUGAGUUGAUCACAAGAAGAAUGAGAAAGAAAAGAAGCAAUCCAAGCGCAAGAGCUCAAAUGAACACAAUUGUCGCUCUCUCUAGUCACUAUUUGAUUUGGAGUGAUUCCGUACUUGGGAGAGGAUUUGAUCUCUUUGGAUGUGUCUAGAAUUGAAUGCUAUAGCUCUUGUAAUGUGUUGAAGGUGGAAAACUUGGAUGCAAUGAAUGGUGGGGUGGUUGGGGUAUUUAUAGCCCCAACCACCAAAAUGUGGUCGUUGGAAGGCUGCUGUCGCAUGGCGCACCGGACAGUCCGGUGCGCCACCAGACACUGUCCGGUGCACCAGCCACGUCAGCCGGCCGUUGGGGUUCGACCGUUGGAGCUCUGACAGGUGGGGCCUCUGGGCUGUCCGGUGGUGCACCGGACAGGUCCUGUAGACUGUCUGGUGCGCCAACUGCGCGUGCUCUGACCUCUGCGCGCGCAGGCGCGCAUUAAAUGCGUUGCAGUCGACCGUUGCGCGCGAAGUAGUCGUUGCUCCGCUGGCACACCGGACAGUCCGGUGUGACACCGGACAUUGUCCGGUGCUUCACCGGACAGUCCGGUGAAUUAUAGCGGAGCGGCCUCCCAUUUUCCUGAAGGUAGCGAGUUCAGCGUCGAGUGCCCUGGUGCACCGGACACUGUUCGGUGGUGCACCGGACAGUCCGGUGCGCCAGACCAGGGUGCCUUUUGGGAUGUCUUUUGCUCUCUUUGUUUGAACCCUUUCUUGGUCUUUUUAUUGGCUUAUUGUGAACCUUUGGCACCUGUAAAACUUAUAGACUAGAGCAAACUAGUUAGUCCAAUUAUUUGUGUUGGACAAUUCAACCACCAAAAUCAAUUAGGAAAAAGGUGUAAGCCUAAUUCCCUUUCAAUCUCCCCCUUUUUGGUGAUUGAUGCCAACACAAACCAAAGCAAAUAUAGAAGUACAUAAUUGAACUAGUUUGCAGAAUGUAAGUGCAAAGGUUACUUAGAAUUGAACCAAUAUAACUUAUCUUAAGAUAUGCAUGGAUUGUUUCUUUAUUUUUAACAUUUUGGACCACGCUUGCACCACAUGUUUUGUUUUUGCAAAUUCUUUUGUAAAUUCUUUUCAAAGUCCUUUUGCAAAUAGUCAAAGGUAAAUGAAUAAGACUUUGAGAAGCAUUUUUAGGAUUUGAAAUUUUCUCCCCCUGUUUCAAAUGCUUUUCCUUUGACUAAACAAAACUCUCCCUCAAUAAAAUCCUCCUCUUAGUGUUUAAGAGGGUUUUAGAUGUUAGUUUUUGAAGAGGGUGAACCAAUUUGAAAUUCUAUCAAAAAUAGGAUACCAAUUGAAAUAUUCAUCAUUUCAAGACCUUUUCUUAAGUUUUGAAAAAUUGGUGGUGGUGCGGUCCUUUUGCUUUGGGCUAAUACUUUCUCCCCCUUUGGCAUGAAUCACCAAAAACGGAUACUUGAGUGAAAUAUAAGCCCUUUCUACUUUCUCCCCCUUUGGCGAACAAUAUAUGAGUGAAGAUUAUACCAAAGUUGGAGAGUGGCUCGGAGCGACAGCAAAGGGUGAGUAAUUGAUGGAGUGGAGUGGAAGCCUUUGUCUUCGCCGAAGACUCGAAUUCCCUUUCAAUCUAUGACUUGGUUUGAAAUACACUUGAAAACACGUUAGUCAUAGCAUAUAAAGGAGACAUGAUCAUAGGUAUAUUAAUGAGCUAUGUAUGCAAGACAUCAAAAGAAAUUCCGAUAAUCCAGAAUAUUUAGUUCAUGCCUAAGUUUGUUAAAAGUUUGUUCAUCUAGUGGCUUGGUAAAGAUAUCGGCUAAUUGUUAUUUAGUAUUAAUGUAAGCAAUCUCGAUAUCCCCUUUUUGUUGGUGAUCCCUUAGAAAAUGAUACCGAAUGGCUAUGUGUUUAGUGCGACUAUGCUCAACGGGAUUAUCUGCCAUGCGGAUUGCACUCUCAUUAUCACAUAGAAGAGGAACUUUGGUUAAUUUGUAAGCAUAGUCCCUAAGGGUUUGCCUCAUCCAAAGCAAUUGCGCGCAACAAUGGCCUACGGCAAUAUACUCGGCUUCGGCGGUAGAAAGAGCUACGGAAUUUUGCUUCUUUGAAGCCCAAGACACCAGGGACCUUCCCAAGAACUGGCAAGUCCCCGAUGUGCUCUUUCUAUUAAUUUUACACCCCGCCCAAUCGGCAUCCGAAUAACCAAUUAAAUCAAAUGUGGAUCCCCGAGGGUACCAAAGCCCAAACUUAGGAGUAUAAACUAAAUAUCUCAAGAUUCGUUUUACGGUCGUAAGGUGAGCUUCCUUAGGGUCGGCUUGGAAUCUUGCACACAUGCAUACAGAAAGUGAAAGGGAAUUAGGCUUACACCUAUUUCCUAACUGAUUUUGGUGGUUGAAUUGCCCAACACAAAUAAUUGGACUAACUAGUUUGCUCUAGUCUAUAAGUUAUACAUGUGCCAAAGGUUCACACUAAGCCAAUAAAAAGACCAAGAAAAGGGGUUCAAACAAAGAGAGCAAGGGAUAACCGAAGGCUACCCUGGUCUGGCGCACCGGACUGUCCGGUGUGCCACCGGACAGUGUCCGGUGCACCAGGGAACUCGACGCCCAAUUCCUCACCUUUGGGAAAACGCAGAGGCGCUCCGCUAUAAUUCACCGGACAGUGUCCGGUGCCCCAGGGGAGAGCGACUCUGAACUCGCCAGCUUCGGAUUUCCGCUCCGCUAUAAUUCACCGGACAUGUCCGGUGCACACCAGACUGUCCGGUGAGCCAGCGGAGCAACGGCUACUUCGCGCCAACGGUCGACUGCAACGCAUUAAAUGCGCGCCAGCGCGCGCAGAGGAGCAGAGCACGCGCGGGUGGCACACCGGACAGUCAACAGGACUUGUCUGGUGCAUCACCGGACAGCCAGGCGGGCCCAUAAGACAGAGCUCCAACGGUCGGAACCCAACGGCCUGGUGACGUGGCUGGCGCACCGGACACUGUCCGGUGACGCACCGACUGUCCGGUGCGCCAUGCGACAACAGCCUCCACCAAACGGCUAGUUUGGUGGUUGGGGCUAUAAAUACCCCCAACCACCCCACACUCAAGUCAUCCAAGUUUUCCACCUUCCAACUACUUACAAGAGCUCUAUCAUUCAAUUCUAGACACACUCAAGUGAUCAAAUCCUCUCCCAAUUCCACACAAAGCUUUAGUGACUAGUGAGAGAGAUUUAUUGUGUUCUUUUGAGCUCUUGCGCUUGGAUUGCUUCUUUUCUUUCUCAAUCUUUCUUGAGAUCAAACUCACUUGUAAUUGAGGCAAGAGACACCAAUUGUGUGAUGGUCCUUGCGGGAACUUCGUGUUCCAAUUGUUUGAGAAGAAGAAGCUCACUCGGUCCAAGGGACCGUUUGAGAGAGGGAAAGGGUUGAAAGAGACCCGGUCUUUGUGACCACCUCAACGCGGAGUAGGUUUGCAAGAACCGAACCUCGGUAAAACAAAUCCACGUGUCACACUCUUCAUUUGCUUGCGAUUUGUUUUGCGCCCUCUCUCUCGGACUCGUUUAUAUUUCUAACGCUAACCCAGCUUGUAGUUGUGAUUAAGUUUGUAAAUUUUAGAUUCGCCCUAUUCACCCCCCUCUAGACGACUUUCAAUUGGUAUCAGAGCCCGGUGCUUCAUUAGAGCCUAACCGCUCGAAGUGAUGUCGGGAGAUCACACCAAGAAGGAGAUGGAAACCGGCGACAAGCCCACUACAAGCCACGGGAAGGCUUCAUCGGAAGAGUCCCGCAACAAAGGGAAGGGGAAAGAGAAGAAAUCCUCUUCCCACAAAUCGCAUCGGAGUGGCGACAAGAAAAAGAAGAUGAGGAAGGUGGUCUACUACGAGACCGACACUUCAUCAUCUUCCACCUCCGGCUCCGACGCGCCAUCCAUUACUUCUAAGCGCCAUGAGCGCAAGAAGUUUAGUAAGAUCCCCUUACGCUAUCCUCGCAUUCCUAAACAUACGCCUUUACUUUCCGUCCCAUUAGGCAAACCACCAACUUUUGAUGGUGAAGAUUAUGCAAGGUGGAGUGAUUUCAUCUAACCUCACUCCACAAAAGUAUAUGGGAUGUCGUUGAGUUUGGUGUACAGGUACCAUCCGUAGGGGAUGAAGAUUAUGACGAGGACGAAGUGGCCCAAAUCGAGCACUUCAACUCCCAAGCGACAAAUAUACUCCUCGCUUCUUUAAGUAGAGAGGAGUAUAACAAGGUGCAAGGAUUAAAGAGCGCCAAGGAAGUACGGGACGUGCUCAAAACCGCGCACGAGGGAGAUGAGCUAACCAAGAUCACCAAGCGGGAGACGAUCGAGGGGGAGCUCGGUCGCUUCCGUCUUCGCCAAGGGGAGGAGCCACAAGACAUGUACAACCGGCUCAAAACCUUGGUGAAUCAAGUGCGCAACCUCGGGAGCAAAAAAUGGGAUGACCACGAAAUGGUUAAGGUUAUUCUAAGAUCACUUAUCAUCCUUAACCCUACUCAAGUUCAAUUGAUUCGUGGCAAUCCUAGAUAUACACUAAUGACUCCCGAGGAAGUGAUCGGGAAUUUUGUGAGCUUUGAGUUCAUGAUCAAAGGCUCAAGGAAGAUCAACGAGCUUGAUGGUCCCUCCACGUCCGAAGCACAACCGGCCGCAUUUAAGGCGACGGAGGAGAAGAAGGAGGAGCCUACACCGAGUAGAACACCCAUCGACGCCUCCAAGCUCGACAACGAGGAAAUGGCGCUCGUCAUCAAGAGCUUCCGCCAAAUCCUCAAGCAAAGGAGGGGGAAAGAUUACAAGCCCCGCUCCAAGAAGGUUUGCUACAAGUGUGGUAAGCCCGGUCACUUUAUAGCAAAAUGUCCUAUUUCUAGUGACAGUGACAGGGGCGACGACAAGAAGGGGAGAAGAAAGGAGAAGAAGAAAUACUACAAGAAGAAGGGUGGCGACGCCCAUGUAUGCCACGAGUGGGACUCGGAUGAGAGCUUCUCCGACUCCUCCUCCGACGAGGACGCCGCCAACAUCGCCAUCAACAAAGGCCUUCUCUUCCCCAACGUCGGCCACAAGUGCCUCAUGGCAAAGGACGACAAAAAGAAGGUUAAAUCCAAAUCCUCCACUAGAUAUGAGUCCUCUAGCGAUGAUAAUGCUAGUGAUGAGUAAGAUAAUUUGCGUACUCUUUUUGCCAACCUAAACAUGCAACAAAAAGAAAAAUUAAAUGAAUUGAUUAGUGCCAUUCAUGAGAAGGAUGAUCUCUUAGACACUCAAGAGGACUUCCUUAUUAAAGAAAACAAAAAGCAUGUUAAGGUGAAAAAUGCUUAUGCUCUAGAAGUAGAAAAGUGCGAAAAAUUAUCUAGUGAGCUAAGCACUUGCCAUGAGACCAUUGACAACCUUAGAAAUGAAAAUGCUAGUUUAAGUGCUAAGGUUGAUUCAAAUGUUUGUGAUGUUUCAAUUCCAAAUCUUAGAAAUGAUAAUGUUGAUUUGCUUGCUAAGAUUGAAGAAUUGAACAUUUCUCUCGCUAGCCUUAGAAAUGAAAAUUAAAAAUUGCUUGCUAAAGCUAAAGAAUUAGAUGUUUGCAAUGCUUCCAUUUCCGACCUUAGAAGUAAAAAUAAUAUAUUGUAUGCUAAGGUUGUAGAAUUAAAAUCUUGCAAACCCUCUACAUCUACCGUUGAACAUACUUCCAUCUGUACUAGAUGUAGAGAUAUUAACAUUGAUGCUAUUUGAAAGUCGCCUAGAGGGGGGGUGAAUAGGGCGAAACUGAAAUUUGCAAAGUUAAUCACAACUACAAGCCGGGUUAGCGUUAGAAAUAUAAUCAAGUCCGCGAGAGAGGGCGCAAAACAAAUCGCAAGCAAAUAAGAAGUGUGACACGCAGAUUUGUUUUACCGAGGUUCGGUUCUCGCAAACCUACUCCCCGUUGAGGUGGUCACAAAGACCGGGUCUCUUUCAACCCUUUCCCUCUCUCAAACGGUCCCUCGGACUGAGUGAGCUUUCUCUUCUCAAAUCAUCCGGGAACAAAACUUCCCCGCAAGGACCACCACACAAUUGGUGUCUCUUGCCUUGGUUACAAGUGAGUGUUUGAUCACAAGAAAGAAUGAGAAAGAAAGCAAUCCAAGCGCAAGAGCUCAAAAGAACACAACAAAUCACUCUCACUUAUCACUAAAGCUUUUGUGGAAUUGGGAGAGGAUUUGAUCACUUGGGUGUGUCUUGUAUUGAAUGCCUAGCUCUUGUAAGUGGUUGGAAGUGUGAAAACUUGGAUAACUUGAAUGUGGGGUGGUUGGGGGUAUUUAUAACCCCAACCACCAAACUAGCCGUUUGGUGGAGGCUGUCUGUCGCAUGGUGCACCGGAUAGUCCGGUGCACACCGGACAGUGUCCGGUGCGCCAGCCACGUCACCAGGCCGUUGGGUUCCGACCGUUGGAGCUCUGACUGCUGGGCCCGCCUGGAUGUCCGGUGGCACACCAGACAUGUACUGUAGAGUGUCCGGUGUGCCACUUCGCGCAUGCCUGACUUCUGCGCGCUCUGGCGCUCAUUUAAUGCUUCUACAGGUGAUUGUUGGCGCGAAGUAGUCGUUGCUCUGCUGGCUCACCGGACAGUCCGGUGCACACCGGACAUGUCCGGUGAAUUAUAGUGAAGCAAAUUCCCGAAGCUGGCCAGUUCCAGAGUUGCUCUUCCUUGGGGCACCGGACACUGUCCGGUGUACACCGGACAGUCCGGUGAAUUAUAGUGGAGCGCCUCUGGAUUUUCCCGAAGGUGAGGAGUUCAGCGUGAAGUCCCCUGGUGCACUGGACACUGUCCGGUGGUGCACCGGACACUGUCCGGUGGCACACCGGAUAGUCCGGUGCGCCAGACCAGGGCAGCCUUCGGUUAUCCCUUGCUCUCUUUGUUGAACCCAAUUCUUGGUCUUUUUAUUGGCUAAGUGUGAACCUUUGGCACCUGUAUAACUUAUAGACUAGAGCAAACUAGUUAGUCCAAUUAUUUGUGUUGGGCAAUUCAACCACCAAAAUCAAUUAGGAAAUAGGUGUAAGCCUAAUUCCCUUUCAAUCUCCCCCUUUUUGGUGAUUGUUGCCAACACAAACCAAAGCAAAUAUAGAAGUGCAUAAUUGAACUAGCUUGCAUAAUGUAAGUGCAAAGGUUGCUUUGAAUUGAGCCAAUAUAAAUACUUAUAAGAUAUGCAAGGAUUGUUUCUUCAAUUUUUGACAUUUUGGACCACGCUUGCACCAUAUGUUUUGUUUUUGCAAAUUCUUUUGUAAAUCCCUUUCAAAGUUCUUUUGCAAAUAGUCAAAGGUAAACGAAUAAGAUUUUUGCAAAGCAUUUUCAAGAUUUGAAAUUUUCUCCCCCUGUUUCAAAUGCUUUUCCUUUGACUUGAACAAAACUCCCCCUAAAUGAAAUCCUCCUCUUAGUGUUCAAGAGGGUUUUAGGAUAUUGAUUUUGAAAAUACUAUUCUUUCCCCCUUUUUGAACACAAGGAGAUACCAAAUUGAAAAAUCAUACCAAUUAAAAAACUUUUUUUAAAAUUAGGUGGUGGUGCGGUCCUUUUGCUUUGGGCUAAUUCUCUCCCCCUUUGGCAUGAAUCGCCAAAAACGGAGUCAUUAGAGCCCUUUUUAAACUAUUCUCUCCCCUUUGGCAAAUAAAACAUAUGAGUGAAGAUUAUACCAAAGACGGAGUCCUUUUGCUUGGGACUUAUGCUCUCUCCCAAAGAUGGAGAGUUGCCCGGAGCGACGGCGAAGGAUGAGUUACGGAGUGGAAGCCUUUGUCUUCGCCGAAGACUCCAAUUCCCUUUCAAUAUACCUAUGACUUGGUUUGAAAUAGACUUGAAAAGACAUUAGUCAUAGCAUAUGAAAGAGACAUGAUCAAAGGUAUAUGAAUGAGCUAUGUGUGCAAAUCAACAAAAGAAAUUCCUAGAAUCAAGGAUAUUUAGCUCAUGCCUAAGUUUGUUAAAAGUUUGUUCAUCAAGUGGCUUGAUAAAGAUAUCGGCUAAUUGAUCUUUAGUAUUAAUGUAUGAAAUCUCGAUAUCUCCCUUUUGUUGGUGAUCCCUUAAAAAGUGAUACCGAAUGGCUAUGUGUUUAGUGCGGCUAUGCUCAACGGGAUUAUCCGCCAUGCGGAUUGCACUCUCAUUAUCACAUAGAAGAGGAACUUUGGUUAAUUUGUAACCAUAGUCCCUAAGGGUUUGCCUCAUCCAAAGUAGUUGCGCGCAACAAUGGCCUGCGGCAAUGUACUCGGCUUCGGCAUUAGAAAGAGCUACGGAAUUUUGCUUCUUUGAAGCCCAAGACACCAAGGAUCUUCCCAAGAACUGGCAAGUCCCCGAUGUACUCUUUCUAUUGAUUUUACACCCUGCCCAAUCGGCAUCCGAAUAACCAAUCAAAUCAAAAGUGGAUCCCCUAGGAUACCAAAGCCCAAACUUAGGAGUAUAAACUAAAUAUCUCAAGAUUCGUUUUACGGCCGUAAGGUGAGCUUCCUUAGGGUCGGCUUGGAAUCUUGCACACAUGCAUACGGAAAGCAUUAUAUCCGGUCGUGAUGCACAUAAAUAUAGCAAAGAGCCUAUCAUCGACCGGUAUACCUUUUGAUCGACGGAUUUACCUCCUUCGUCGAGGUCGAGAUGCCCAUUGGUUCCCAUGGGUGUCUUGAUAGGUUUGGCAUCCUUCAUCCCAAACUUAGAAUAUCUUGAGUAUACUUCUUUUGGCUUAGGAAGGUGCCCUCUUGGAGUUGCUUCACUUGAAAUCCUAAGAAGUACUUCAACUCCCCCAUCAUUGACAUCUCGAACUUUUGUGUCAUGAUCCUACUAAAUUCUUCACAUGUAGACUCGUUAGUAGACCCAAAUAUAAUAUCAUCAACAUAAAUUUGGCAUACAAACAAGUCAUUUUCAAGAGUUUUAGUGAAGAGUGUAGGAUCGGCUUUUCCGACUUUGAAGCCAUUAGUGAUAAGGAAAUCUCUAAGGCAUUCAUACCAUGCUCGUGGGGCUUGCUUGAGCCCAUAAAGCGCCUUAGAGAGUUUAUAGACAUGGUUAGGGUACUCACUAUCUUCAAAGUUGGGAGGUUGCUCAACAUAGACCUCUUCCUUGAUUGGUCCAUUGAGGAAGGCACUCUUCACGUCCAUUUGGUAAAGCUUGAAGCCAUGGUAAGUAGCAUAGGCCAAUAAUAUUCGAAUUGACUCAAGCCUAUCUACGGGUGCAUAGGUUUCACCGAAAUCCAAACCUUCGACUUGGGAGUAUCCUUUGGCCACAAGUCGGGCUUUGUUCCUUGUCACCACACCAUGCUCGUCUUGCUUGUUGCGGAAAACCCACUUGGUUCCUACAACAUUUUGGUUAGGACGUGGAACUAAAUGCCAUACCUCAUUCCUAGUGAAGUUGUUGAGCUCCUCUUGCAUCGCCACCACCCAAUCCGAAUCUUGUAGUGCUACCUCCACCCUGUGUGGCUCAAUAGAGGAAACAAAAGAGUAGUGCUCACAAAAAUGUGCAACACGAGAUCUAGUGGUUACCCCCUUAUGAAUGUCGCCGAGGAUGGUGUCGACGGGGUGAUCUCGUUGGAUUGCUUGGUGGACUCUUAGGUGUGGCGGCCUUGGUUCUUCAUCCUCCUUGUCUUGCUCAUUUGCAUCUCCCCCUUGAUCAUUGUCGUUAUCUUGAGGUGGCUCAUUUGCUUGAUCUUCUCUUUCAUCAACUUGAGCCUCAUCCUCAUUUUGAGUUGGUGGAGAUGCUUGCGUGAAGGAGGAUGGUUGAUCUUGUGCAUUUGGAGGCUCUUCAGAUUCCUUAGGACACACAUCCCCAAUGGACAUGUUCCUUAGCGCGAUGCAUGGAGCCUCUUCAUCACCUAUCUCAUCAAGAUCAACUUGCUCUACUUGAGAGCCGUUAGUCUCAUCAAACACAACGUCACAAGAAACUUCAACUUGUCCAGUGGACUUGUUAAAGACUCUAUAUGCCCUUGUGUUUGAAUCAUAUCCUAGUAAAAAGCCUUCUACAGUCUUAGGAGCAAAUUUAGAUUUUCUACCUCUUUUAACAAGAAUAAAACAUUUGCUACCAAAGACUCUAAAAUAUGAAAUAUUGGGCUUUUACCGGUUAGGAGUUCGUAUGAUGUCUUCUUGAGGAUUCGGUGUAGAUACAACCGGUUGAUGGCGUAGCAAGCGGUGUUGACCGCCUCGGCCCAAAACCGAUCCGAAGUCUUGUACUCAUCAAGCAUGGUUCUUGCCAUGUCCAAUAGAGUUCGAUUCUUCCUCUACACUACACCAUUUUGUUGAGGGGUGUAGGGUGAAGAGAACUCAUGCUUGAUGCCCUCCUCCUCAAGGAAGCCUUCAAUUUGAGAGUUCUUGAACUCCGUCCCGUUGUCGCUUCUAAUUUUCUUGAUCCUCAAGCCGAACUCAUUUUGAGCCCGUCUCAAGAAUCCCUUUAAUGUUUCUUGGGUAUGAGAUUUUUCCUGCAAAAAGAAUACCCAAGUGAAGCGAGAAUAAUCAUCCACAAUAACUAGACAGUACUUACUCCCGCCGAUGCUUAUGUAAGCAAUCAGGCCGAAUAGAUCCAUGUGUAGGAGCUCCAGUGGCCUGUCAGUCGUCAUGAUGUUCUUAUGUGGAUGAUGGGCACCAACUUGCUUCCCUGCAUGGCAUGCGCUACAAAUCCUGUCUUUCUCAAAAUGAACAUUUGUUAAUCCUAAAAUGUGAUGUCCCUUUAGAAGCUUAUGAAGAUUCUUCAUCCCAACAUGGGCUAGUCGGUGGUGACAUAGCCAACCCAUGUUAGUCUUAGCAAUUAAGCAAGUGUCAAGUUCAACUCUAUCAAAAUCUACCAAGUAUAGCUGACCCUCUAACACUCCCUUAAAUGCUAUUGAAUCAUCACUUCUUCUAAAGACAGUGACACCUAUAUCGGUAAAAAGACAGUUGUAGCCCAUUUGACAUAAUUGAGAAACGGAAAGCAAAUUGUAAUCUAAAGAAUCUACAAGAAAAACAUUGGAAAUGGAGUGGUCAGGUGAUAUAGCAAUUUUACCCAAUCCUUUGACCAAACCUUGAUUCCCAUCCCCGAAUGUGAUAGCUCGUUGGGGAUUUUGGUUUUUCUCGUAGGAGGAGAACAUCUUCUUCUCCCCUAUCAUGUGGUUUGUGCACCCGCUGUCGAUUAUCCAACUUGAGCCCCCGGAUGCAUAAACCUACAAAACAUGUUUAGUUCUUGACUUUAGGUACCCAAAUGGUUUUCGGUCCUUUGGCAUUAGACACAAGAACUUUGGGUACCCAAACACAAGUCUUUGACCCCUUGUGCUUGCCCCCAACAUAUUUGGCAACUACCUUACCGGAUUUGUUAGUUAAAACAUAUGAUGCAUCAAAAGUUUUAAAUGAAAUGUCAUGAUCAUUUGAUGCAUUAGGAGUUUUCUUCUUAGGCAUCUUAGCACGGGUUGGUUGCCUAGAACUAGAUGUCUCACCCUUAUACAUAAAAGCAUGGUUAGGGCCAGAGUGAGACUUCCUAGAAUGAAUUCUCCUAAUUUUGCUCUCAGGAUAACCGGCAGGGUACAAAAUGUAACCCUCGUUAUCUUGAGGCAUGGGAGUCUUGCCCUUAACAAAGUUAGACAAUUUCUUAGGAGGGGCAUUAAGUUUGACAUUGUCCCCCUUUUGGAAGCCAAUGCCAUCCUUAAUGUCAGGGCGCCUCCCACUGUAAAGCAUACUACGAGCAAAUUUAAAUCUUUCAUUUUCAAGUUCAUGCUCGGCAAUUUUAGCAUCUAACUUUGCUAUAUGAUCAUUUUGUUGUUUAAUUAAAGCCAUGUGAUCAUGAAUAGCAUUAAUAUCAACAUCUCUACAUCUAGUACAAAUAGAAGUGUGCUCAAUGGUAGAUGUAGAUGGUUUGCAAGAUUUUAAUUCUACAACCUUAGCAUGCAAUAUGUCAUUUUUACUUCUAAGGUCGGAAAUGGUAGUAUUGCAAACAUCAAGAUCCUUAGCCUUAGCAAGGAAUUUUUCAUUUUCAUCUCUAAGGCUAGCAAGAGAAAUGUUCAAUUCUUCAAUCUUAGCAACCAAAUCAUUAUUAUCAUUUCUAAGAUUGGAAAUUGAAAUAUUACAAGUAAUAGAAUCAACCUUAGCUAACAAAUUAGCAUUAUCAUUUCUAAGGUUGUCUAUAGUCUCAUGGCAAGUGCUUAGCUCACUAGAUAAUUUUUCACAUUUUUCAACUUCUAGAGCAUAAGCAUUUUUAACUUUAACAUGCUUUUUGUUUUCCUUGAUUAGGAAGUCCUCUUGGGAGUCCAAGAGAUCAUCUUUCUCAUGGAUGGCACUAAUUAAUUCAUUUAAUUUCUCUUUUUGUUGCAUGUUUAAGUUGGCAAAAAGAGUACGCAAAUUAUCUUCCUCAUCACUAGCAUUAUCAUCGCUAGAAGACUCAUAUCUAGUGGAGGAUUUGGAUUUAACCUUCUUCUUUUUGCCGUCCUUUGCCAUGAGGCACUUGUGGCCGACGUUGGGGAAGAGAAGUCCCUUGGUGACGGCGAUGUUGGCGGCGUCCUCGUCAUCGGAGGAGUCGCUAGAGCUUUCGUCGGAGUCCCACUCACGACAAACAUGGGCAUCGCCGCCCUUCUUCUUGUAGUAUCUCUUCUUCUCCUUUCUUCUCCCCUUCUUGUCGCCGUCCCUGUCACUGUCACUAGAAAUAGGACAUUUUGCUAUAAAGUGACCGGGCUUACCACACUUGUAGCAAACCUUCUUGGAGCGGGGCUUAUAAUCUUUCCCCCUCCUUUGCUUGAGGAUUUGGCGGAAGCUCUUGAUGACGAGCGUCAUUUCCUCAUUGUCGAGCUUGGAGGCGUCGAUGGGUGUUCUACUCGGUGUAGACUCCUCCUUCUUUUCUUCCGUCGCCUUGAAUGCGUCCGGUUGAGCUUCGGACGUGGAGGGGCCGUCAAGCUCGUUGAUCUUCCUUGAUCCCUUGAUCAUGAAUUCAAAGCUCACAAAAUUCCCGAUUACUUCCUCGGGAGUCAUUAGUGUAUAUCUCGGAUUGCCAUGAAUUAAUUGUACUUGAGUAGGGUUAAGGAAAAUAAGAGAUCUUAGAAUAACCUUAACCACCUCGUGGUCAUCCCACUUUUUGCUCCCGAGGUUGCGCACUUGAUUCACCAAGGUUUUGAGCCGGUUGUACAUGUCUUGUGGCUCCUCCCCUUGGCGUAGACGGAAGUGACCGAGCUCCCCCUCGAUCGUUUCCCGCUUGGUGAUUUUGGUGAGUUCAUCACCCUCGUGCGCGGUCUUGAGCACGUCCCAAACUUCCUUGGCGCUCUUUAAUCCUUGCACCUUGUUGUACUCCUCCCUACUUAGAGAGGCGAGGAGUAUGGUUGUGGCUUGGGAGUUAAAGUGCUCGAUUUGGGCCACUUCAUCAACAUCAUAAUCUUCAUCCCCUACGGAUGGUACCUGUACACCAAAUUCAACACCAUCCCAUAUACUUUUGUGGAGUGAGGUUAGAUGAAAUCGCAUUAAAUCACUCCACCUAGCAUAAUCUUCACCAUCAAAAGUUGGUGGUUUGCCUAAUGGGACGGAAAGUAAAGGUGUAUGUUUAGGAAUGCGAGGGUAGCAUAGGGGGAUCUUACUAAACUUCUUGCGCUCAUGGCGCUUAGAAGUUAUGGAGGGCGCGUCGGAGCCGGAGGUGGAAGGUGAUGAAGUGUCGGUCUCGUAGUAGACCACCUUCCUCAUCUUCUUUAUCUUGUCUCCACUCCGAUGCGACUUGUGGGAAGAAGCUUUCUUCUCCUUCCCCUUUCCCUUUUUGUGGGACUCUUCGGAUGAAGCCUUCCCGUGGCUUGUAGCGGGCUUGUCGCCGGUCUCCAUCUCCUUCUUGGCGUGUUCUCCCGACAUCACUUCGAGCGGUUAGGCUCUAAUGAAGUACCGGGCUUUGAUACCAAUUGAAAGUCGCCUAGAGGGGGGGUGAAUAGGGCGGAACUGAAAUUUGCAAAGUUAAUCACAACUACAAGCCGGGUUAGCGUUAGAAAUAUAAUCAAGUCCGCGAGAGAGGGCGCAAAACAAAUCGCAAGCGAAUAAGAAGUGUGACACGCGGAUUUGUUUUAUCGAGAUUCGGUUCUCGCAAACCUACUCCCCGUUGAGGUGGUCACAAAGACCGGGUCUCUUUCAACCCUUUCUCUCUCUCAAACGGUCCCUCGGACUGAGUGAGCUUUCUCUUCUCAAAUCAACCGGGAACAAAACUUCCCCGCAAGGACCACCACACAAUUGGUGUCUCUUGCCUUGGUUACAAGUGAGUGUUUGAUCACAAGAAAGAAUGAGAAAGAAAGCAAUCCAAGCGCAAGAGCUCAAAAGAACACAACAAAUCACUCUCACUUAUCACUAAAGCUUUUGUGGAAUUGGGAGAGGAUUUGAUCACUUGGGUGUGUCUUGUAUUGAAUGCCUAGCUCUUGUAAGUGGUUGGAAGUGUGAAAACUUGGAUAACUUGAAUGUGGGGUGGUUAGGGGUAUUUAUAACCCCAACCACCAAACUAGCCGUUUGGUGGAGGCUGUCUGUCGCAUGGUGCACCGGACAGUCCGGUGCACACCGGACAGUGUCCGGUGCGCCAGCCACGUCACCAGGCCGUUGGGUUCCGACCGUUGGAGCUCUGACUGCUGGGCCCGCCUGGAUGUCCGGUGGCACACCGGACAUGUACUAUAGAGUGUCCGGUCUGCCACUUCGCGCGUGCCUGACUUCUGCGCGCUCUGGCGCGCAUUUAAUGCUUCUGUAGGUGACCGUUGGCGCGAAGUAGUCGUUGCUCCGCUGGCUCACCGGACAGUCCGGUGCACACCGAACAUGUCCGGUGAAUUAUAGCGAAGCAAAUUCCCGAAGCUGGCGAGUUCCAGAGUUGCUCUUCCCUGGGGCACCGGACACUGUCCGGUGUACACCAGACAGUCCGGUGAAUUAUAGUGGAGCGCCUCUGGAUUUUCCCGAAGGUGAGGAGUUCAACGUGAAGUCCUCUGGUGCACCAGACACUGUCCGAUGGCACACCGGACAGUCCGGUGCGCCAGACCAAGGCAGCCUUCGGCUAUCCCUUGCUCUCUUUGUUGAACCCAAUUCUUGGUCUUUUUAUUGGCUAAGUGUGAACCUUUGGCACCUGUAUAACUUAUAGACUAGAGCAAACUAGUUAGUCCAACUAUUUGUGUUGGACAAUUCAACCACCAAAAUCAAUUAGGAAAUAGGUGUAAGCCUAAUUCCCUUUCACUAUUCAUGAUCAUAUGACUUUAAUUAAACAACAAAAUGAUCAUAUAGCAAAAUUAGAUGCCAAAAUUGCCGAGCAUGACUUAGAAAAUGAUAAGUUUAAAUUUGCUAGAAGCAUGCUCUAUAGUGGGAGACGCCCUGGCAUUAAGGAUGGCAUUGGCUUCCAACAGGGAGGCAAUGUCAAACUUAAUGCCCCUCCUAAGAAAUUGUCCAACUUUGUUAAGGGCAAGGCUCCCAUGCCUCAGGAUAACGAGGGUUAAAUUUUGUACCCUGCCGAUUAUCCUGAGAGCAAAAUUAGGAGAAUUCAUUCUAGGAAGUCUCACUCUGGCCCUAACCAUGCUUUUAUGUAUAAGGGUGAGACAUCUAGUUCUAGGCAACCAACCCGUGCUAAGUUGCCUAAGAGGAAAACUCCUAGUGCAUCAAAUGAUCAUGACAUUUCUUUUAAAACUUUUGAUGCAUCUUAUGUGUUAACUAACAAAUCCGGCAAAGUAGUUGCCAAAUAUGUUGGGGGCAAGCACAUGGGGUCAAAGACUUGUGUUUGGGUACCCAAAGUUCUUGUGUCUAAUAUCAAAGGACCCAAAACCAUUUGGGUACCUAAAGUCAAGAACUAAACUUGUUUUGUAGGUUUAUGCAUCCGGGGGCUCAAGUUGGAUCAUCGAUAGCGGGUGCACAAACCACAUGACAGGGGAGAAGAAAAUGUUCUCCUCCUACGAGAAAACCAAGAUCCCCAACGAGCUAUCACAUUCGGGGAUGGAAACCAAGGUUUGGUCAAAGGAUUGGGUAAAAUUGCUAUAUCACCUGACCAUUCCAUUUCCAAUGUUUUUCUUGUAGAUUCUUUAGAUUACAAUUUGCUUUCAGUUUCUCAAUUAUGCCAAAUGGGCUACAACUGUCUAUUCACUGAUGUAGGUGUCACUGUCUUUAGAAGAAGUGAUGAUUCAAUAGCAUUUAAGGGCGUGUUAGAGGGUCAGCUAUACUUGGUAGAUUUUGAUAGAGCUGAACUCGACACAUGCUUAAUUGCUAAGACUAACAUGGGUUGGCUCUGGCACCGCCGACUAGCCCAUGUUGGGAUGAAGAAUCUUCAUAAGCUUCUAAAGGGAGAGCACAUUUUAGGAUUAACAAAUGUUCAUUUUGAGAAAGAUAGGAUUUGUAGCGCAUGCCAAGCAGGGAAGCAAGUUGGUGCUCAUCAUCCACACAAGAACAUCAUAACGACUGACAGACCACUGGAGCUCCUACACAUGGACCUAUUCGGCUCGAUUGCUUAUAUAAGCAUCGGCGGGAGUAAGUACUGUCUAGUUAUUGUGGAUGAUUAUUCUCGCUUCGCUUGGGUAUUCUUUUAGCAGGAAAAAUCUCAUACCCAAGAGACCUUAAAGGGAUUCUUGAGACGGGCUCAAAAUGAGUUCGGCUUGAGGAUCAAGAAAAUCAGAAGCGAUAACGGGACGGAGUUCAAGAACUCAAAUUGAAGGUUUCCUUUAGGAGGAGGGCAUCAAGCAUGAGUUCUCUUCUCCCUAGACGCCACAACAAAAUGGUGUAGUGGAGAGGAAGAAUAGAACUCUAUUGGACAUGGCAAGAACCAUGCUUGAUGAGUACAAGACUUCGGAUCGGUUUUGGGCCGAGGCGGUAAACACCGCCUGCUACGCCAUCAACCGGUUGUAUCUACACCGAAUCCUCAAGAAGACAUCAUACGAACUCCUAACCGGUAAAAAGCCCAAUAUUUCAUAUUUUAGAGUCUUUGGUAGCAAAUGCUUUAUUCUUGUUAAAAGAGGUAGAAAAUCUAAAUUUGCUCCUAAGACUGUAGAAGGCUUUUUACUAGGAUAUGAUUCAAACACAAGGGCAUAUAGAGUCUUUAACAAGUCCUCUAGACAAGUUGAAGUUUCUUAUGACGUUGUGUUUGAUGAGACUAACGGCUCUCAAGUAGAGCAAGUUGAUCUUGAUGAGAUAGGUGAUGAAGAGGCUCCGUGCAUCGCGCUAAGGAACAUGUCCAUUGGGGAUGUGUGACCUAAGGAAUCCGAAGAGCCUCCAAAUGCACAAGAUCAACCAUCCUCCUCCACGCAAGCAUCUCCACCAACUCAAAAUGAUGAUGAGGCUCAAGUUGAUGAAGGAGAAGAUCAACAAGAUGAGCCACCUCAAGAUGACAGCAAUGAUCAAGGGGGAGAUGCAAAUGAUCAAGACAAGGAGAAUGAAGAACCAAGGCCGCCACACCCAAGAGUCCACCAAGCAAUCCAACGAGAUCACCCCGUCGACACCAUCCUUGGCGACAUUCAUAAGGGGGUAACCACUAGAUCUCGUGUUGCACAUUUUUGUGAGCAUUACUCUUUUGUUUCCUCUAUUGAGCCACAUAGGGUAGAGGAAGCACUUCAAGAUUCGGAUUGGGUGGUGGCGAUGCAAGAGGAGCUCAACAACUUCACUAGAAACGAGGUAUGGCAUUUGGUUCCACGUCCUAAUCAAAAUGUUGUAGGAACCAAGUGGGUUUUCCGCAACAAGCAAGAUGAGCAUGGUGUGGUGACAAGGAACAAAGCUCGACUUGUGGCCAAGGGAUACUCCCAAGUCGAAGGUUUGGAUUUCAGUGAAACCUAUGCACCAGUAGCUAGGCUUGAGUCAAUUCGUAUAUUAUUAGCCUAUGCUACUUACCAUGGCUUCGAGCUUUAUCAAAUGGACGUGAAGAGUGCCUUCCUCAAUGGACCAAUCAAGGAAGAGGUCUAUGUUGAGCAACCUCCCGGCUUUGAAGAUAGUGAGUACCCUAACCAUGUUUACAAACUCUCUAAGGCGCUUUAUGGGCUCAAGCAAGCCCCAAGAGCAUGGUAUGAAUGCCUUAGAGAUUUCCUUAUCACUAAUGGAUUCAAAGUCGGAAAGGCCGAUCCUACACUCUUUACCAAAACACUUGAAAAUGAUUCGUUUGUAUGCCAAAUUUAUGUCGAUGAUAUUAUAUUUGGGUCUACUAACGAAUCUACUUGUGAAGAGUUUAGUAGGAUCAUGACACAGAAAUUCAAGAUGUCAAUGAUGGGGGAGUUGAAGUACUUCUUGGGAUUUCAAGUAAAGCAACUCCAAGAGGGCACCUUCAUUAGCCAAACGAAGUAUACUCAAGACAUUCUAAGCAAGUUUGGGAUGAAGGAUGCCAAACCCAUCAAGACACCCAUGGGAACCAAUGGGCAUCUCGACCUCGACACGGAAGGUAAGUCCGUGGAUCAAAAGGUAUACCGGUCGAUGAUAGGCUCCUUACUAUACUUAUGUGCAUCUCGACUGGAUAUUAUGCUUUCCGUAUGCAUGUGUGCAAGAUUCCAAGCCGACCCUAAGGAAGCUCACCUUACGGCCGUAAAACGAAUCUUGAGAUAUUUAGUUUAUACUCCUAAGUUUGGGCUUUGGUAUCCUAGGGGAUCCACAUUUGAUUUGAUUGGUUAUUCGGAUGCCGAUUGGGCAGGGUGUAAAAUUAAUAGAAAGAGCACAUCGGGGACUUGCCAGUUCUUGGGAAGAUCCUUGGUGUCUUGGGCUUCAAAGAAGCAAAAUUCUGUAGCUCUUUCUACCGCCGAAGCCGAGUACAUUGCCGCAGGACAUUGUUGCGCGCAACUACUUUGGAUGAGGCAAACCCUUAGGGACUACGGUUACAAAUUAACCAAAGUCCCUCUUCUAUGUGAUAAUGAGAGCGCAAUCCGCAUGGCAGAUAAUCCCGUUGAGCAUAGCCGCACUAAACACAUAGCCAUUCGGUAUCAUUUUCUAAGGGAUCACCAACAAAAGGGAGAUAUCGAGAUUGCAUACAUUAAUACUAAAGAUCAAUUAGCCGAUAUCUUUACCAAGCCACUAGAUGAACAAACUUUUAACAAACUUAGGCAUGAGCUAAAUAUCCUUGAUUCUAGGAAUUUCUUUUGAUGUCUUGCAUAUAUAGCUCAUAAAUAUACCUUUGAUCAUAUCUCUUUUCAUGUGCUAUGACUAAUGUGUCUUCAAGUGAAUUUCAAACCAAGUCAUAGGUAUAUUGAAACGAAUUGGAGUCUUCGGCGAAGACAAAGGCUUCCACUCCACUCCAUAACUCAUUCUUCGCCGUCGCUCCGAGCAUCUCUCCGGCUUUGGUAUAAUCUUCACUCAUGUUUUAUUUUGCCAAAGGGGAGAAAAUAGUUAGGCAAGGGCUUAUAUCUCACUCAAGUAUCCGUUUUUGGCGAUUCAUGCCAAAGGGGGAGAAAGUAUUAGCCCAAAGCAAAAGGACCGCACCACCACUAAUUUUAAAAAGAGUUUUUCAAUUGAUAUGAUUUUCAAUUUGAUAUCUCAUUGUGUUCAAAAAGGGGGAGAAAGUAGUAUUUUCAAAAUUGAUAUCUUAAAACCCUCUUGAACACUAAGAGGAGAUUUCAUUCAGAGGGAGUUUUGUUUAGUCAAAGGAAAAGCAUUUGAAACAGAGGGAGAAAAUUUCAAAUCUUGAAAAUGCUUCGCAAAAUCUUUUUCAUUUACCUUUGACUAUUUGCAAAAGGACUUUGAAAAGGAUUUACAAAAAGAAUUUGCAAAAACAAAACAGGUGGUGCAAGCGUGGUCCAAAAUGUUAAAAAUGAAGAAACAAUCCAUGCGUAUCUUAUAAGUAUUUAUAUUGGCUCAAUUCCAAGUAACCUUUGCACUUACAUUAUGCAAACUAGUUCAAUUAUGCACUUCUAUAUUUGCUUUGGUUUGUGUUGGCAUCAAUCACCAAAAAGGGGGAGAUUGAAAGGGAAUUAGGCUUACACCUAUUUCCUAACUGAUUUUGGUGGUUGAAUUGCCGAACACAAAUAAUUAGACUAACUAGUUUGCUCUAGUCUAUAAGUUAUACAGGUGCCAAAGGUUCACACUAAGCCAAUAAAAAGACCAAGAAAAGGGGUUCAAACAAAGAGAGCAAGGGAUAACCGAAAGCUACCCUGGUCUGGCGCACCGGACUGUCUGGUGCACCACCGGACAGUGUCCGGUGCACCAGGGAACUCGACGCCCAAUUCCUCACCUUCGGGAAAACGCAGAGGCGCUCCGCUAUAAUUCACCGGAUUGUCCGGUGUACCACCGGACAGUGUCCGGUGCCCCAGGGGAGAGCGACUCUGAACUCGCCAGCUUCGGAUUUCCGCUCCGCUAUAAUUCACCGGACAUGUCCGGUGCACACCGGACUGUCCGGUGAGCCAGCGGAGCAACGACUACUUCGCGCCAACGGUCGACUGCAACGCAUUAAAUGCACGCCAGCGCGCGCGGAGGAGCAGAGCACGCGUGGGUGGCACACCGGACAGUCAACAGGACUUGUCUGGUGCAUCACCGGACAGCCAGGCGGGCCCACAAGACAGAGCUCCAACGGUCGGAACCCAACGGUCUGGUGACGUGGCUGGCGCACCGGACACUGUCUGGUGGCGCACCGUACUGUCCGGUGCGCCAUGCGACAGCAGCCUCCACCAAACGGCUAGUUUGGUGGUUGGGGCCAUAAAUACCCCCAACCACCCCACAUUCAAGUCAUCCAAGUUUUCCACCUUCCAACUACUUACAAGAGCUCUAGCAUUCAAUUCUAGACACACUCAAGUGAUCAAAUCCUCUCCCAAUUCCACACAAAGCUUUAGUGACUAGUGAGAGAGAUUUGUUGUGUUCUUUUGAGCUCUUGCGCUUGGAUUGCUUCUUUUCUUUCUCAAUCUUUCUUGAGAUCAAACUCACUUGUAAUUGAGGCAAGAGACACCAAUUGUGUGGUGGUCCUUGCGGGAACUUUGUGUUCCAAUUGUUUGAGAAGAAGAAGCUCACUCGGUCCAAGGGACCGUUUGAGAGAGGGAAAGGGUUGAAAGAGACCCGGUCUUUGUGACCACCUCAACGGGGAGUAGGUUUGCAAGAACCGAACCUCGGUAAAACAAAUCCGCGUGUCACACUCUUCAUUUGCUUGCGAUUUGUUUUGUGCCCUCUCUCUCGGACUCGUUUAUAUUUCUAACGCUAACCCAGCUUGUAGUUGUGAUUAAGUUUGUAAAUUUCAGAUUCGCCCUAUUCACCCCCCCUCUAGGCGACUUUCAGAAAGCAUUAUGUCUGGUCGAGAUGCACAUAAAUAGAGUAAAGAGCUUAUCAUCGACCGGUAUACCUUUUGAUCGACAGAUUUACCUCCCGUGUCGAGGUCGAGAUGCCCAUUGGUUCCCUUGGGUGUCUUGAUGGGCUUGGCAUCCUUCAUCCCAAACUUGUUUAGAAUGUCUUGAAUAUACUUUGUUUGGCUAAUGAAGGUGCCCUCUUGGAGUUGCUUCACUUGAAAUCCCAAGAAGUACUUCAACUCCCCCAUCAUCGACAUCUCGAAUUUCUGUGUCAUGAUCCUACUAAAUUCUUCACAUGUAGAUUCGUUAGUAGACCCAAAUAUAAUAUCAUCAACAUAAAUUUGGCAUACAAACAAAUCAUUGUCAAGAGUUUUAGUGAAUAAAGUAGGAUCGGCUUUUCCGACUUUGAAGCCAUUAGUGAUAAGGAAAUCUCUUAGGCAUUCAUACCAUGCUCUUGGGGCUUGCUUGAGCCAUAAAGCGCCUUAGAGAGUUUGUAAACAUAGUUAGGAUACUCACUAUCUUCAAAGCCGGGAGGUUGCUCAACAUAGACCUCUUCCUUGAUUGGUCCAUUGAGGAAGGCACUUUUCACGUCCAUUUGAUAAAGCUUGCAGCCAUGGUAAGUAGCAUAGGCAAGUAAAAUGCGAAUUGAUUCUAGCCUAGCUACGGGUGCAUAGGUUUCCCUGAAAUCCAAACCUUCGACUUGUGAAUAUCCUUUGGCCACAAGUCGGGCUUUGUUCCUUGUCACCACACCAUGCUCGUCUUGCUUGUUGCAGAAGACCCACUUGGUUCCUACAACAUUUUGAUUAGGACGUGGAACCAAAUGCCAUACCUCAUUCCUAGUGAAGUUGUUGAGCUCCUCUUGCAUCGCCACCACCCAAUCCGAAUCUUGAAGUGCUUCUUCUAUCCUAUGUGGCUCAAUAGAGGAAACAAAAGAGUAAUGUUCACAUAAAUGAGCAACACGAGAUCGAGUAGUUACCCCCUUUUGAAUAUUGCCGAGGAUGGUGUUCACGGGGUGAUCUCGUUGGAUUGCUUGGUGGACUCUUGGGUGUGGCGGCCUUGGAACUUGUUCAUCUUCCUCAUCUUGAUCAUGGGCAUCUCCCCCUUGAUCAUUGCUCUCCUCUUGAGGUGGCUCAACUUCUUGAUUUUCUCCUUCAUCAUUUUGAGCCUCAUCCUCAUCUUGAGUUGGUGGAGAUGCUUGCAUUGAGGAAGAUGGUUGAUCUUGUUCAUUUGGAGACUCUUUGGAUUCCUUAGGACACACAUCCCUAAUGAACAUGUUCCUUAGCGCGACGCAUGGAGCCUCUUCAUCACCUAUCUCAUCAAGAUCAACUUGCUCUACUUGAGAGCCGUUAGUCUCGUCAAACACAAUGUCACAAGAAACUUCAACUUGCCCAGAGGACUUGUUGAAGACUCUAUAUGCCCUUGUGUUUAAGUCAUAUCCUAGUAAAAAGCCUUCUACAGUCUUAGGAGCAAAUUUGGAUUUUCUACCUCUUUUAACAAGAAUAAAGCAUUUGCUAGCAAAGACUCUAAAAUAUGAAACAUUGGGCUUUUUACCGGUUAGGAGUUCGUAUGAUGUCUUCUUGAGGAUUCGGUGUAGAUACAACCGGUUGAUGGCGUAGCAAGCGGUGUUGACUGCCUCCGCCCAAAACCGAUCUGAAGUUUUGUACUCAUCAAGCAUGGUCCUUGCCAUGUCCAAAAGAGUUCUAUUCUUCCUCUCCACUACACCAUUUUGUUGUGGCGUGUAGGGAGAAGAGAACUCAUGCUUGAUGCACUCCUCAAGGAAGCCUUCAAUUUGAGAGUUCUUAAACUCCGUCCCGUUGUCGCUUCUAAUUUUCUUGAUCCUUAAGUCGAACUCGUUUUGAGCCCAUCUCAAGAAUCCCUUUAAGGUCUCUUGGGUAUGAGAUUUUUCCUGCAAAAAGAACACCCAAGUGAAGCGAGAAUAAUCAUCCACAAUAACUAGACAGUACUUACUCCCGCCGAUGCUUAUGUAAGCUAUCGGGCCAAAUAGGUCCAUGUGUAGGAGCUCGAGUGGCCUGUUAGUCGUCAUGAUGUUCUUGUGUGGAUGAUGAACACCAACUUGCUUCCCUGCCUGACAUGCGCUACAAACCCUGUCUUUCUCAAAAUGAACAUUUGUUAGUCCCAAAAUAUGUUCUCCCUUUAGAAGCUUGUGAAGAUUCUUCAUUCCAACAUGUGCUAGUCGGCGAUGCCAGAGCCAGCCCAUGUUAGUCUUAGCAAUUAAGCAAAUGUCGAGUUCAGCUCUAUCAAAAUCUACUAAGUAUAGCUGACCCUCCAACACUCCCUUAAAUGCUAUUGAAUCAUCACUUCUUCUAAAGACAGUAACACCUAUAUCUGUAAAAAUACAGUUGUAACCCAUUUUGCAUAAUUGCGAAACUGAAAGCAAGUUAUAAUCUAAAGAAUCUACAAGAAAAACAUUGGAAAUGGAGUGGUAAGGAGAUAAAGCAAUUUUACCCAAUCCUUUGACCAAACCUUGAUUUCCAUCCCCGAAUGUGAUAGCUCGUUGGGGAUCUUGGUUUUUCUCGUAGGAGGAGAACAUCUUCUUCUCCCCUGUCAUAUGGUUUGUGCACCCGCUAUCGAUGAUCCAACUUGAGCCCCCGGAUGCAUACAUCUACAAAACAAGUUUAGUUCUUGAUUUUAGGUACCCAAACGGUUUUGGGUCCUUUGGCAUUAGAUACAAGUACUUUGGGUACCCAAACACAAGUCUUGGUGCCCUUGUGUUUGUCCCCAACAUACUUGGCAACUACCUUGCGUGAUUUGUUGGUUAGCACAUAAGAUGCAUCAAAAGUUUUAAAUGAAAUGUUAUGAUUAUUUGAUGCAGUAGGAGUUUUUGAUAGUCGCCUAAAGGGGGGGUGAAUAGGGCGAAACUGAAAUUUACAAAUAUAAACACAACUACAAGCCGGGUUAGCGUUAGUAAUAAAGAAACGAGUCCGCGAGAGAGAGGGCGCAAAACAAAUCGCAAGCAAAUAAAGAGUGUGACACGCGGAUUUGUUUUACCAAGGUUCGGUUCUUGCAAACCUACUCCCCGUUGAGGAGGCCACAAAGGCCGGGUCUCUUUCAACCCUUCCCUCUCUCAAACGAUCCCACGGAUCGAGUGAGCUUUCUCUUCUCAAUCACUUGGAACACAAAGUUCCUACAAGGACCACCACAAGUUUGGUGUCUCUUGCCUCAAUUACAAGUGAGUUUGAUCGCAAUGAAAGAAUCAAGAAAGAAGAAAGCAAUCCAAGCGCAAGAGCUCGAAAGAACACAAGCAAAUCACUCUCUCUAGUCACUAUGGCGUUGUGUGGAAUUUGGAGAGGAUUUGAUCUCUUUGGUGUGUCUAGAAUUGAAUACUAGAGCUCUUGUAGUAGUUGGGAAGUGGAAAACUUGGAUGCAAUGAAUGGUGGGGUGGUUGGGGUAUUUAUAGCCCCAACCACCAAAAGUGGCCGUUGGGAGGCUGUCUGUUCGAUGGCGCACCGGACAGUCCGGUGCACACCGGACAUGUCCGGUGCCCCCGCCACGUCAUCACUGCCGUUGGAUUCUGACCGUUGGAGCUUCUGACUUGUGGGCCCGCCUGGAUGUCCGGUGCACACCGGACAUGCACUGUUCCUUGUCCGGUGCGCCGGUAUGGGCGCGCCUGCCUUCUGCGCGCGUAGAGCGCGCAUUUAAUGCACCGCAGGGAGCCGUUGGCGCGGAGAUAGCCGUUGCUCCGGAGUCGCACCGGACAGUCCGGUGCACACCGGACAUGUCCGGUGAAUUAUAGCGGACUAGCCGUUGGAGUUUCCCGAAGCUGGCGAGUUCCUGAGGCCGACCUCCCUUGGAGCACCGGACACUGUCCGGUGUACACCGGACAGUCCGGUGAAUUAUAGCGGAGUCGCCUCUGGAAAUUCCCGAAGGUGGCGAGUUUGCGUUGGAGUCCUCUGGUGCACCGGACAGUCCGGUGCGCCAGACCAGAGGUGCCUUCGGUUGGCCCUUUGCUCUUUUGUUGAAUCCAACUCUUGAUCUUUUUAUUGGCUGAGUGUGAACCUUUUACACCUGUACAAUCUAUACACUUGGGCAAACUAGUUAGUCCAAUUAUUUGUGUUGGGCAAUUCAACCACCAAAAUUAUCUAGGAACUAGGUGUAAGCCUAAUUCCCUUUCAAUCUCCCCCUUUUUGGUGAUUGAUGCCAACACAAACCAAAGCAAAUGUAGAAGUGCAUAAUUGAACUAGUUUGCAUAAUGUAAGUGUAAAGGUUGCUUGGAAUUGAGCCAAUAUAACUACUUACAAGAUAUGCAUGGAUUAUUUCUUAUUUAUAACAUUUUGGACCACGCUUGCACCACGAGUUUUAUUUUUGCAAAUUCUUUUGUAAAUUCUUUUCAAAGUUCUUUUGCAAAUAGUCAAAGGUAAAUGAAUAAGAGUUUGCAAAGCAUUUUCAAGAUUUGAAAUUUUCUCCCCCUGUUUCAAAUGCUUUUCCUUUGACUAAACAAAACUCCCCCUAAAUGAGAUCCUCCUCUUAGUGUUCAAGAGGGUUUUGAUAAAUUUUUGAAAUACUACUUUCUCCCCCUUUUUGAACACAAUAGGAUACCAAUUGAAAAAAUAUUCAACACUAAGUUUUUGAAAUUGGUGGUGGUGCGGUCCUUUUGCUUUGGGCUCUUACUUUCUCCCCCUUUGGCAUGAAUCGCCAAAAACGGAAUCAUUAGAGCCCUCUAAGUGCUUUCUUCCCCUUUGGUCAUAAAUGAAUGAGUUAAGAUUAUACCAAAGACGAAGUCCGGUCUUUCGCUUUGGGCUCUUACUUUCUCCCCAAAGACAAAGUCCUUUUCUUGGUGCUCAUGCUUUCUCCCCCAAGAAUGGAGAGUGACUUGGAGCGUCGGCGAAGGAUGAGUUACGUAGUGGAAGCCUUUGUCUUCGCCGAAGACUCCAAUUCCCUUUCAAUACACCUAUGACUUGGUUUGAAAUAGACUUGAAAACACAUUAGUCAUAGCAUAUGAAAGAGACAUGAUCAAAGAUACAUAAAUGAGCUAUGUGUGCAAUUUAACAAAAGAAAUUGCGCGAAUCAAGAAUAUUGAGCUCAUGCCUAAGUUUGUUAAAAGAUUGUUCAUCAAGAGGCUUGGUAAAGAUAUCGGCUAAUUGAUCUUUAGUAUUAAUGUAAGAAAUCUUGAUAUCUCCCUUUUGUUGGUGAUCCCUAAGAAAAUGAUACCGAAUGGCUAUGUGCUUAGUGCGGCUAUGCUCGACGGGAUUGUCGGCCAUUUUGAUUGCACUCUCAUUAUCACAUAGCAAAGGGACUUUGGUUAAUUUGUAACCGUAGUCCCGCAGAGUUUGCCUCAUCCAAAGUAAUUGCGCGCAACAAUGGCCUGCGGCAAUGUACUCGGCUUCGGCGGUGGAAAGAGCGACCGAAUUUUGCUUCUUUGAAGCCCAAGACACCAAGGAUCUUCCCAAGAACUGGCAAGUCCCCGAUGUGCUCUUCCUAUUGAUCUUGCACCCCGCCCAAUCGGCAUCCGAAUAACCAAUAAAAUCAAAAGUGGAUCCCCUAGGAUACCAAAGCCCAAACUUAGGAGUAUAAGCCAAAUAUCUCAAGAUUCGUUUUACGGCCGUAAGGUGAGCUUCCUUAGGGUCGGCUUGGAAUCUUGCACACAUGCAUACGGAAAGCAUAAUAUCCGGUCGAGAUGCACAUAAAUAGAGUAAAGAACCUAUCAUCGACCGGUAUACCUUUUGAUCCACGGACUUACCUCCCGUGUCGAGGUCGAGAUGCCCAUUGGUUCCCAUGGGUGUCUUGAUGGGCUUGGCAUCCUUCAUUCCAAACUUGUUUAGAAUGUCUUGAGUGUAUUUUGUUUGGCUAAUGAAGGUGCCCUCUUGGAGUUGCUUCACUUGAAAUCCUAAGAAAUACUUCAACUCCCCCAUCAUAGACAUCUCGAAUUUCUGUGUCAUAAUCCUACUAAAUUCUUCACAUGUAGACUCGUUAGUAGACCCAAAUAUAAUAUCAUCAACAUAAAUUUGGCAUACAAACAAGUCAUUUUCAAGAGUUUUAGUAAAGAGUGUAGGAUCGGCUUUUCCGACUUUGAAUCCAUUUGCAAUAAGAAAAUCUCUAAGGCAUUCAUACCAUGCUCUUGGGGCUUGCUUGAGCCCAUAAAGCGCCUUAGAGAGCUUAUAGACAUGGUUAGGGUACUCACUGUCUUCAAAGCCGGGAGGUUGCUCAACAUAGACCUCUUCCUUGAUUGGUCCAUUGAGGAAGGCACUUUUCACGUCCAUUUGAUAAAGCUUAAAGCCAUGGUAAGUAGCAUAGGCUAAUAAUAUGUGAAUUGACUCAAGCCUAGCUACGGGUGCAUAGGUUUCACCGAAAUCCAAACCUUCGACUUGGGAGUAUCCCUUGGCCACAAGUCGAGCUUUGUUCCUAGUCACCACACCAUGCUCAUCUUUCUUGUUGCGGAAGACCCAUUUGGUUCCUACAACAUUUUGGUUAGGACGUGGAACUAAAUGCCAUACCUCAUUUCUAGUGAAGUUGUUGAGCUCCUCUUGCAUUGCCACCACCCAAUCCGAAUCUUGAAGUGCUUCCUCUACCCUAUGUGGCUCAAUAGAGGAAACAAAAGAGUAAUGUUCACAAAAAUGAGCAACCCGAGAUCUAGUAGUUACCCCCUUAUGAAUGUCGCCGAGGAUGGUGUCGACGGGGUGAUCUCGUUGGAUUGCUUGGUGGACUCUUGGAUGUGGCGGCCUUUGCUCUUCAUCCUCCUUGUCUUGAUCAUUUGCAUCUCCCCCUUGAUCUAUGCCGUCAUCUUGAGGUGGCUCAUUUGAUUGAUCUUCUUCUUCAUCAAUUUGAGCUUCAUCCUCAUUUUGAGUUGGUGGACAUGCUUGCGUGGUGGAGGACGGUUGAUCUUGUGCAUUUGGAGGCUCUUCGGAUUCCUUAGGACACACAUCCCCAAUGGACAUGUUCCUUAGCGCGAUGCACGGAGCCUCUUCAAUACCUAUCUCAUCAAGAUCAACUUGCUCUACUUGAGAGCCGUUAGUCUCAUCAAACACAACGUCACAUGAGACUUCAACUAGUCCAGUGGACUUGUUAAAGACCCUAUAUGCCCUUGUGUUUGAGUCAUAACCAAGUAAAAAAGCCUUCUACAGUCUUAGGAGCAAAUUUAGAUUUUCUACCUCUUUUAACAAGAAUAAAGCAUUUGCUACCAAAGACUCUAAAAUAUGAAAUGUUGGGCUUUUUACCGGUUAGGAGUUCAUAUGAUGUCUUCUUGAGGAUUCGGUGAAGAUAUAACCGGUUGAUGGCGUAGCAGGCGGUGUUGACCGCCUCGGCCCAAAACCGAUCCGAAGUCUUGUAUUCAUCAAGCAUGGUCCUUGCCAUGUCCAAUAGAGUUCUAUUCUUCCUCUCCACUACACCAUUUUGUUGUGGCGUGUAGGGAGAAGAGAACUCAUGCUUGAUGCCCUCCUCCUCAAGGAAGCCUUCAAUUUGUGAGUUCUUGAACUCCGUCCCGUUGUCGCUUCUUAUUUUCUUGAUCCUUAAGCCGAACUCAUUUUGAGCCCGUCUCAAGAAUCCCUUUAAGGUUUCUUGGGUUUGAGAUUUUUCCUGUAAAAAGAACACCCAAGUGAAGCGAGAAUAAUCAUCCACUAUUACAAGACAAUACUUACUCCCGCCGAUGCUUAUGUAAGCAAUCGGGCCGAAUAGAUCCAUGUGGAGUAGCUCAAGCGGCCUGUUGGUCGUCAUGAUGUUUUUGUGUGGAUGAUGGGCGCCAACUUGCUUUCCUGCUUGGCAUGCGCUACAAACCCUGUCUUUCUCAAAAUGAACAUUUGUUAGUCCUAAAAUGUGUUCUCCCUUUAGAAGUUUGUGAAGAUUCUUCAUCCCAACAUGGGCUAGUCGGCGGUGCCAGAGCCAACCCAUGUUAGUCUUAGCAAUUAAGCAAGUGUCGAGUUCAGCUUUAUCAAAAUCUACCAAGUAUAGCUGACCCUCUAACACUCCCUUAAAUGCUAUUGAAUCAUCACUUCUUCUAAAGACAGUGACACCUACAUCAGUAAAUAGACAGUUGUAGCCCAUUUUGCAUAAUUGAGAUACGGAAAGCAAAUUGUAAUCUAAAGAAUCUACAAGAAAAACAUUGGAAAUAGAAUGGUCAAGAGAUAUAGCUAUUUUACCAAGACCUUUAACCAAACCUUGAUUUCCAUCCCCGAAUGUGAUAGCUCGUUGGGGAUCUUGGUUUUUCUCGUAGGAGGAGAACAUCUUCUUCUCCCCUGUCAUGUGGUUUGUGCACCCGCUGUCGAGUAUCCAACUUGAGCCCCCGGAUGCAUAAACCUACAAAACAAGUUUAGUUCUUGACUUUAGGUACCCAAAUGGUUUUGGGUCCUUUGGCAUUAGACACAAGAACUUUAGGUACCCAAACACAAGUCUUUGACCCCUUAUGCUUGCCCCCAACAUAUUUGGCAACUACUUUGCCGGAUUUGUUAGUUAAAACAUAUGAUGCAUCAAAAGUUUUGAAUGAAAUGUCAUGGUCAUUUGAUGCAUUAGGAAUUCUCUUCUUAGGCAACUUAGCACGGGUUGGUUGCCUAGAACUAGAUGUCUCACCCUUAUACAUAAAAGCAUGGUUAGGAC